AGGCGUGAGCCACCGCGCCUGGCUGGGCAAAUACUGUUUCUAGGCAGAGUUUGGGGACUGUGAUAUGUCUGCCACUUGUGGGUGCUACGCCAGGCCUGAACCCAAAA